rnacentral:rRNA from 1 species
AACGGGUGGGACGAGCGUUAUUCAUAGUGAUUGGGCGUAAAGUGUACGUAGACGGUCUCAAUGAGCAAAGAGUGUUCCAUGGCACAACUGUGGUGAUUUUUUAGCGAGUAAAAGGGACUUGAGUUCAGCAGAGGUUAGCAGUAUUUUUAAGGUAGAAGUGACAAGCGUAGAACUUAAGGAGACUUUCAUUGCGGAGGCGGCUAACUAGGUUGAUCUGACGUUGAGGUACGGAGGUAUGAGGAUCAAAUGGG